rnacentral:rRNA from 1 species
AACGAACGCUGGCGGCAGGCCUAACACAUGCAAGUCGAGCGCCCCGCAAGGGGAGCGGCGGACGGGUGAGUAACGCGUGGGAACGUGCCCUUUGCUACGGAAUAGCCCCGGGAAACUGGGAGUAAUACCGUAUAAGCCCUACGGGGGAAAGAUUUAUCGGCAAAGGAUCGGCCCGCGUUGGAUUAGGUAGUUGGUGGGGUAAUGGCCUACCAAGCCGACGAUCCAUAGCUGGUUUGAGGGGAUGAUCAGCCACACUGGGACUGAGACACGGCCCAGACUCCUACGGGAGGCAGCAGUGGGGAAUCUUAGACAAUGGGCGCAAGCUUGAUCUAGCCAUGCCGCGUGAGCGAUGAAGGCCUUAGGGUUGUAAAGCUCUUUCGUGGGGGAAGAUAAUGACUGUACCCCAAGCAGAAGCCCCGGCUAACUCCGUGCCAGCCGCCGCAGUAA